UACGAGGGGGGCAAGCGUUGUUCGGAAUUAUUGGGCGUAAAGGGCGCGUAGGCGGUUUGACAAGUCUGAUGUGAAAUCUAUGGGCUCAACCCAUAGCCUGCAUUAGAAACUGUCGGGCUUGAGUAUGGGGGAGGUGAGUGGAAUUUCCAGUGUAGCGGUGAAAUGCGUAGAUAUCGGAAGGAACACCUGUGGCGAAAGCGGCUCACUGGACCAUAACUGACGCUGAGGCGCGAAAGCUAGGGGAGCAAACAGG
rnacentral:rRNA from 1 species